UCCCUGGUGGUCCAGUGAUUAGGACUCAGCGCUUUCACUGCUAGGGCCCAGGUUCAAUUCCUAGUAGGGGAC
rnacentral:tRNA from 1 species